CUACGGGGUGCAGCAGUGAGGAAUAUUGCACAAUGGGGGGAACCCUGAUGCAGCAACGCCGCGUGGAGGAUGACGCAUUUCGGUGUGUAAACUCCUUUUAUAUGUCAAGAAAAUGACGGUAGCAUAUGAAUAAGCACCGGCUAACUCCGUGCCAGCAGCCGCGGUAAUACGGAGGGUGCAAGCGUUACUCGGAAUCACUGGGCGUAAAGGACGCGUAGGCGGGUUGGAAAGUCAGGUGUGAAAUCCUACAGCUUAACUGUAGAACUGCACUUGAAACUUCUAAUCUAGAGUAUGGGAGGGGGAGAUGGGAUUAGUGGUGUAGGGGUAAAAUCCGUAGAUAUCACUAGGAAUACCUAAAGCGAAGGCGACCUCCUGGAACAUUACUGACGCUAAGGCGUGAAAGCGUGGGGAGCAAACAGGAUUAGAUACCCCCGUAGUC
rnacentral:rRNA from 1 species